rnacentral:tRNA from 1 species
GCCCUGGUAAGUGCUAGGUCGCGGGUUCAAUUCCCGCCCGGGGCG